rnacentral:rRNA from 1 species
AUGGAAUCAGAUUCUGUCAACAGAGAUGACCCGUCUGAAGAGGCGAGGGUGCUGCCAUUGGCUCUGUUUGCCAUGGAACACAACAGCAAGAAGCGGCUGCUGUUCGAUGUUUCCAGCGGAAACAUCUGCGGGAUAACCAGCGCGCUGUUUCCAGACGCCUUUGUCGAAUUCGAGAGCUGCGGCUGGCUUCUCAUGGUCCGACACAAGCCAUUCCACUUCCAAGAGCAGGUCGUCUUCCUAGUCCACCCUAGCACCGGCAGGCGGAUCGACAUGCCGGUGCUUCGCUCCCCCGACAAGUGCUACUUCGUUUUCUACGCUGAUCCUCGUCGCGGAAGUGGGGCUCCCCUGGUUGUUGCGUGCGUCCAGAUCAUGAGCGUCGUUCCGACCGUCCAUGUCGCGUGCCCUGGAGACGUGUACUGGUGCGUCCACAAGCAUACCUGCCAACUGCGCCUGUCGGAAGCAAUGUGCAAAUCCUUCCACAACACUUUGAUCAUGGACGUGGCACUGGUCGGGACACAGGCCGUCUGCGCCGAAUUUCUCGGGCAGAUCCUGAUCUUCGACAUCACAGAAAUGGCCUGGAGAGCGGCCUCUUGUCCAGAGUGGAGCAUACAAGACGCCCACUACCUUGUUGCGUCCAUUGGGAAAGUUGUGAUUGUAUCGUGUCCCCGUGCGAGUGCUUUCAAGUUCUUGCAGCUGGACAUGGAAGCGCUGGCGUGGUCGCCCCUCGAUGACCAGGAGCUUGAGGACACCAGCUGGUUUCUUUCCCAGGGCCAGUCCAUCCGUGUGAAGGAGGAAGGCAGGAGGAAAGUCUACACUUUCCAUCCAAGAGGACGUGGUAACUUAGCGACAGAGAGCUCGGAUGGAUGGACAAUAACAUCAGGGCCUGCCACAUUGAAGACCAUCACAAAUAUUUAUGCAUCUAUAUCUAUAUCUAUAUCUAUAUCUAUACUACUAUUAAAAGAGUAA